AUACACGAGACACACAAACUAGUGACUUGUAAAGCACCAAAAGUACCAGGUACUAUCGCUAAUGGAAACACAAAAUAGCUGUGCAGAGGCGAGGCGAGUCACACUGGGACCAUGUAGUGGAAUAGACCGUUAGUCUUCACAUGUCUAUUAAAAAGGCAGGUUUCUGUGAUAGAUGAAUCAUUUCUGAAUUUUUUCUAACCUAAGUAUGAACUAUACCCUCAUGUAAAUGUGAAACUCAAAUUGAAACCAUUUAGGUGAAAUAACAUAAUACAUACAGUACCCUCUAAUAAUUGAGGGUUUUUUUAAGCUUCUGAAGCACUGAUGAGUGAAAGAUAUGGAGUGGGAAAUCUCUGGGAUGACCUGAAGAGGACAGUGCAGAGGAGACACCCCCUACAAUCUGACAGCUGACAGACUGCAACCCAAAAAUAGACUGAGUGCUCUACUUAAAAUCAAAAGGUUACCUCAACACAGUUUUUUUUUUUCCCACCCAGGUUAUUAUCAGAUGUAUUUUCUUUUGUUCCUAAAUGGCUUCAGUUUGUUUCUCAUUUGGAUGUUUACAGGUUGUAGAUCACAUUAUAGAUUUUGAAAAUCACAAAAAUCUGCUACAUGGUUUGACAGGCUUGUUGUUUCGAGAGGAAUUACGCAGCCAACAUGUCUGUUGACAUCAAGUUGAGUAAUUCCAGCUAAUGAGGGUGCUGGGUCUGUUUCAGUGUGAUAUACUGGCAUUAUAAUAUGUAUUACUGGUGCUCUUCUAUCCUCAUGUCUGGACAAUGUUACCUUUUAGUGUUUAUGACUUGUUGCCUCCACCACAAGAGAUUUGGGUUCUACAGGCUUUUAUUGUUUUCCUCAACAUGCCAGAUUUCUUUUUGUUUAAUGACCCCCCUGUGAUAAGAAUUUACAGUUUAGAUUAAGUAAAAUAACAACAUAAAAAUUCCAGUGAACACAAGCAUUCCUGUAUGUUUGAGGAAGAGAAUCACUUUGCCUUUGCAGGUCUUCUACCGCUACAGCUGACAAAUUCUGGCAACGCUUUUUUAUUUUUGCAGAAUGGAAGGUCUCCUGUAGUUAGCCUGUCCAGAAGCACUGUACACUGUUACUUUGAGCUGAAUGUAAACACACUUUUAAUGCCUUUUAACACGUUAAGUUGCUAUUCAGCUUAAUUUUUACCUCCAGUACAGAUGCAGCCUCGUCACAGUCACAGAGACCAACAGUUUAUAUCACUGCCUUUUACUUGAGGAUGCAUUCAUGUCUUCUGUUUCUCGUGUGUGCUCAUUGUGCACAGACACUAGUCACACAGCUGUCUGUGUCAUGGUGUUAAACCCAGACUCAUGAGUGAAACAGCUUCUGAGAUGUUUUUAAAUGAUAUGUUUGACCUGUUCGUGGUACAUCCUAAACAAUUUGCACCCUAAACACCUUAUCCGAUGUAGAUGCCCAUUAUAGAAAUAGAAAAUUGAACACAUGGAGAGGAGUCUCUUGCAUUUUAAAUACUUGAUGUUUUCAAUUGACCGAUGAAACUGUUAUUGAACCAAAUGAUUUUUGUCUCGACAGAAGGUUCAAAAGUAAACCUGUUUUUCCUCAUAUGUUCUUCAUCAUAUGUUAUUUUCCCACAUUGAAACUGGGAUACAUUUUAAUGUUUCAUUAGGUUAUAUUCCGUAUUUUUUCUACAUAGGUGUUAGGUUUUAAUAUUCAUAUUCAUUAUGUUAGGCACAAGUGAUUUAUCUUGUUGCUCAUUCCAUUUUUUUAUUCCAUUUGGUUUCUUUGUUUAUAUUUAUUUAAAGCACCUGUUUACCACUACAUUCUUCAUAUUAUGCUAACUAGUAUUUAUUAUGUUGCAGAUUAUGUGGUCAUCUUAUUUUGCAUUUUUGUUUUUGGAAUAUUUUGCAAGCAUGUAGAGUAUGAUUUUCUUUCUUACAGCAACUUCAGAAGCAGCUUUUUUCAUUCUUAAAUUGAGGAUGUUGACAAUGUCUUACAGUAUUUAUUGUUAAUUAUCAUUUGGGGUUUUCUUGCUAGACUUUUUGCAGUUCUUACCAUGAGAGCUGUUUAUUGUGGAUAAAACUGAUGCAAAAACCAAUGGGAUUAGCGUUGUGCCUUUUAAGUACACUAUGUAUGUGUAUACAGUAUGCUGUAUAUUGUGUUUGUGCAAAAGGCUGAAAGUUGAUCCAUAAAGUUCACAUACUGUUAGAUCUCAAGAUUGUUUAUUUCUUUGCUUGACACUAACACAUAUUAUCUGACUCUGUCAGGUUUGUGAGCUGGGUCGGGAGACUAGCAUCGAUACUAUUGCUUCGGUCCAGCCUAGGAAGCUCCAGCGUGUAACUUCUGUCGCCCUGGCAAGGAAAUUAGUGAUGGUCUACAGGUGUGUGGAACUUCAUUCCAAGUUCUUUGUUGCUGAAGGAAAAAAGAGUGAGUACUGUAUUUCCUUGUUAAUGCAGUUAUAGGUAACGUAUAUGAAAAUUGUGAACCUGCUCACUAAUUCCACUAAUUAUUCAAUUACAUGCAGGUGCUUUAGCAGGAAGGUGUUUUACACACUUCAUAAAUAACAGGAUGUUCUCUGUUAAUGUAGCACAGUGUAAAUGUAUAAAGGGUCUUGUGUCACACUCAUUUAAAAUGCUGUAAUAGUGUAAAGGGAGGAAAAUGUAAUUACAGUCAUUUAUUUGGUCACUCCUUGAUCAUGUUUUUGUU